UACGUAGGGCGCAAGCGUUGUCCGGAAUUAUUGGGCGUAAAGAGCUCGUAGGUGGUUUGUCGCGUCUGUCGUGAAAGCCCCGGGCUCAACCCGGGAGGGUCGCGGCGAACUGGGAGGCUUGAGGCCGGUAGAGGUGGGUGGAACUCCUGGUGGAGUGGUGAAAUGCGUAGAGAUCAGGAAGAACACCCGUGGCGAAGGCGGCCCACUGGGCCGGUGCUGACGCUGAGGCGCGAAGGCGUGGGGAGCGAACGGG
rnacentral:rRNA from 1 species